rnacentral:rRNA from 1 species
UACGGGGGGAGCAAGCGUUGUUCGGAUUUACUGGGCGUAAAGGGCGCGUAGGCGGCCAGCACAAGUCAGUUGUGAAAUCUCCGAGCUUAACUCGGAACGGUCAACUGAUACUGUGCGGCUAGAGUGCGGAAGGGGCAACUGGAAUUCUUGGUGUAGCGGUGAAAUGCGUAGAUAUCAAGAGGAACACCUGCGGCGAAGGCGGGUUGCUGGGCCGACACUGACGCUGAUGCGGCGAAAGCCAGGGGAGCAAACGGG